ensembl:snRNA U6 U6 spliceosomal RNA
GUGAUCGCUUCAGCAGCACAUAUACUAAAAUUGGAACAAUACGGAGACUAGAAUGGCCCCCACACAAGGAUAAUAUGCAAAUGCCCAAAAACACAGUUCUCAAUGCUU